AUUGAACGCUGGCGGCAGGCUUAACACAUGCAAGUCGAGCGGAGAUGAGGUGCUUGCACCUUAUCUUAGCGGCGGACGGGUGGGUAAUGCUUAGGAAUCUGCCUAUUAGUGGGGGACAACAUUCCGAAAGGAAUGCUAAUACCGCAUACGUCCUACGGGAGAAAGCAGGGGAUCUUCGGACCUUGCGCUAAUAGAUGAGCCUAAGUCGGAUUAGCUAGUUGGGGGGGUAAAGGCCUACCAAGGCGACGAUCUGUAGCGGGUCUGAGAGGAUGAGCCGCCACACUGGGACUGAGACACGGCCCAGACUCCUACGGGAGGCAGCAGUGGGGAAUAUUGGACAAUGGGGGGAACCCUGAUCCAGCCAUGCCGCGUGUGUGAAGAAGGCCUUAUGGUUGUAAAGCACUUUAAGCGAGGAGGAGGCUACUGAGACUAAUACUCUUGGAUAGUGGACGUUACUCGCAGAAUAAGCACCGGCUAACUCUGUGCCAGCCGCCGCAGUAAAAC
rnacentral:rRNA from 1 species